AAUUACUGGGCGUAAAGCGCACGCAGGCGGUCUGUCAAGUCGGAUGUGAAAUCCCCGGGCUCAACCUGGGAACUGCAUUCGAAACUGGCAGGCUAGAGUCUUGUAGAGGGGGGUAGAAUUCCAGGUGUAGCGGUGAAAUGCGUAGAGAUCUGGAGGAAUACCGGUGGCGAAGGCGGCCCCCUGGACAAAGACUGACGCUCAGGUGCGAAAGCGUGGGGAGCAAACAGGAUUAGAUACCCUGGUAGUCCACGCCGUAAACGAUGUCGAUUUGGAGGUUGUGCCCUUGAGGCGUGGCUUCCGGAGCUAACGCGUUAAAUCGACCGCCUGGGGAGUACGGCCGCAAGGUUAAAACUCAAAUGAAUUGACGGGGGCCCGCACAAGCGGUGGAGCAUGUGGUUUAAUUCGAUGCAACGCGAAGAACCUUACCUGGUCUUGACAUCCACAGAACUUUCCAGAGAUGGAUUGGUGCCUUCGGGAACUGUGAGACAGGUGCUGCAUGGCUGUCGUCAGCUCGUGUUGUGAAAUGUUGGGUUAAGUCCCGCAACGAGCGCAACCCUUAUCCUUUGUUGCCAGCGGUUAGGCCGGGAACUCAAAGGAGACUGCCAGUGAUAAACUGGAGGAAGGUGGGGAUGACGUCAAGUCAUCAUGGCCCUUACGACCAGGGCUACACACGUGCUACAAUGGCAUAUACAAAGAGAAGCGACCUCGCGAGAGCAAGCGGACCUCAUAAAGUAUGUCGUAGUCCGGAUUGGAGUCUGCAACUCGACUCCAUGAAGUCGGAAUCGCUAGUAAUCGUAGAUCAGAAUGCUACGGUGAAUACGUUCCCGGGCCUUGUACACACCGCCCGUCACACCAUGGGAGUGGGUUGCAAAAGAAGUAGGUAGCUUAACCUUCGGGAGGGCGCUUACC
rnacentral:rRNA from 1 species